rnacentral:lncRNA from 1 species
GUCAAAAUUUAAGUUUCUUGGCAUUGAAAUUCCACCUCUAUGGUUACCGUUCCAUUGUUUUGAUUUCCCUAAUCAUAACGAUGGAACUACAUCGAUCACAGAUCACUCAUGGUAUGGCUAGAAUGAGAAGUCACCCAAGCUGAAUACCUAACAACACAAAGACAUUUACACGCACAUGUCAUCCAGCGCACUUGUUCAGUUACAUGUGCAAUGGAAGCCCACCAGCUUGGUCAGCUUGGCCCUGAGAAAUGCGCUUGGCUGCCACACCGCAAUUUUUGCUGUUUCCCAUUGAAAACUCUUGCUCAUUGGCAUGCUUCGGUGUGCAGUGAUGCUGCAGCACACCAUCCUACACGAUCAAAUAGACCGUUCUUGCCUUGUGAAGAGCGAGCAGGGACACAGUUAUCUGUUUGGUGUGUUUUGCUUGAGUCUAAUUUCCUGGUGGCUCCGUUUCCUAGCUAUAUGCGCGCGUGACACUUUCACUUGCCGUUAUAGUUAUCAUCCACCAUUUUAUUAGUAUAAUUUGUCCACCACUUUAUUGGUACAAUUUGUUAGGAGGAGAUAACUUGCACGAGCUUGCCUCCUUUAUAUAUACUAGGAGAUAACUUACACCGAAUCAUACACGAUCCAAUAGAUCGUUCUUGCCUCCUAAAGAGCGAGCAGGGAGACGGUUAUCUAUUUGGUGUGUUGUUGCUUGGAUCUAAUUUCCUGGUGC